GAGGGUAUAGCUCAGUGGUAGAAUGCAUGCUUAGCAUGCUUAGGGUCCUGGGUUCAACCCCCAGUACCGCCA
rnacentral:tRNA from 1 species